GUGUGGGAAUAUUCUCGCCUCAAUGUUUCAAAUAAUGUGUUGUCUAAGCGUAAGUUAAAUCGACUGGUGACCGAAAAAUGGGUUGAUGGUUGGGAUGAUCCUCGCCUACUGACACUCGCUGGUCUUAGGCGCAGAGGUGUUACAUCAACAGCCAUUAAUGCUUUUGUUCGAGGAAUUGGAAUUACUAGAAGUGACUGUUCUUUGAUUCGCUAUGAUCGUCUUGAAUAUCACAUUAGAGAAGAGCUAAAUAGAACAGCUGCACG
rnacentral:misc_RNA from 1 species